rnacentral:rRNA from 1 species
UACGAAGGGGCGAGCGUUGUUCGGAAUUACUGGGCGUAAAGGGCGCGUAGGCGGCCCUCUUUGUCGCGUGUGAAAGCCCCGGGCUCAACCUGGGAACGGCGCGCGAAACGGGGGGCUGGAGUUCGGGAGAGGAGCGUGGAAUUCCCAGUGUAGAGGUGAAAUUCGUAGAUAUUGGGAAGAACACCGGUGGCGAAGGCGGCGCUCUGGACCGAGACUGACGCUGAGGCGCGAAAGCGUGGGGAGCGAACAGG